AGGGUCUCAUCGGACAUGCCUUCUAUGCGAAGGAGGUCACAGACUCGAUAAAACUCUCUUAGGUGUGUGUAUGGGUUUUCCUCACCUUCUCCUGAGAAAGGUUGUUUUUGAAUAAAUUGUAUGUAUUCGGGGUCUAUCUCAAAACUAGAUGCUAUGAUAGGCUUUGAAGAUUUUGGUGGUUCGAGAUGUGUGCCCAUAGGUCUAUGAAAUUCAUAGAUAGACAUGUUUGAAUUCAUAAUAGACCAGAGAUCAAGGAUUAGAUAAGAAGAAAGAAUAGCAGAGAUGAGGCAAAGGAUAAAAGGAAAAUAUUUUUUUAUUUAUUUAUUUUUUAUAAAAUGAUUAAACUAGUUCGUAGUCAACUCAGCAACCGUUUCCCCGGCAACGGCGCCAAAAAUGCUUGUUGACACUUGCUAACACCACUUGAAUACUAGGUUGUCAUCCCCAGCAUGGCACUAGAGUGUACUAUGGUAUUUAUACGCACACAGAUAAUCCGCAAGCGCACGGAUACCGUUGAAGCUUUUACCCGGUUAAAGGUUUUAUCGUAUCCACAGGGAAACGGGAGAACCAACUACGCUCUAACUUAACCAAGAUAGAUAGAUAGGUGUAAAUAGGAAAGAUGAUAGAAUCGAAUAAGAACAAUAUUAAAGGUAAGAUAACAGUGAGUGAUAAUAUGGGAAUAGAGAGUAGAGCAAUUCUAGUAUAUGGGCGAUGUAGCAGAAUAGAGAGGAUAACUAUGGUUUCUCUACUUCAAAGGGGUAUGUCUAUGUCUGGGACGAACCACGUGAUAAGAGUACACCACAAAGGAUGCUUAUCCAUAGGCCGAUAAACCCUACCCGUCCUGCUAACGAGAGGUGGACUACAGGGGACCAACGUAACUGUCACCUACGCGGCCUACCACA
rnacentral:lncRNA from 1 species